GACGAACGCUGGCGGCGUGCCUAAUACAUGCAAGUCGAACGCUUCUUUCCUCCCGAGUGCUUGCACUCAAUUGGAAAGAGGAGUGGCGGACGGGUGAGUAACACGUGGGUAACCUACCCAUCAGAGGGGGAUAACACUUGGAAACAGGUGCUAAUACCGCAUAACAGUUUAUGCCGCAUGGCAUAAGAGUGAAAGGCGCUUUCGGGUGUCGCUGAUGGAUGGACCCGCGGUGCAUUAGCUAGUUGGUGAGGUAACGGCUCACCAAGGCCACGAUGCAUAGCCGACCUGAGAGGGUGAUCGGCCACACUGGGACUGAGACACGGCCCAGACUCCUACGGGAGGCAGCAGUAGGGAAUCUUCGGCAAUGGACGAAAGCCUGACCGAGCAACGCCGCGUGAGUGAAGAAGGUUUUCGGAUCGUAAAACUCUGUUGUUAGAGAAGAACAAGGACGUUAGUAACUGAACGUCCCCUGACGGUAUCUAACCAGAAAGCCACGGCUAACUACGUG
rnacentral:rRNA from 1 species